CCCUUAACUAUUAAAAGUUUCGUUUUAGUCUCUUAACUUAUUUUUUGGUUUCGUUUUGGUCCCUUAACUUAUUUUUUGGUUUCAUUUUGGUCCCUUAACUUUAAUACAUUCAUCCUAACAUAAAGGACCAAAGUGGUUGACGGAGGAAGAGUUAAGGGACCAAAACGAAACCAAAAAUUAAGUUAAAGGAUCAAAACGAAACUUUUAAUAGUUAAGAGA
rnacentral:pre_miRNA from 1 species